rnacentral:rRNA from 1 species
AACGAACGCUGGCGGCAUGCCUAACACAUGCAAGUCGAACGAGACCUUCGGGUCUAGUGGCGCACGGGUGCGUAACGCGUGGGAACCUGCCCUUAGGUUCGGAAUAACUCCCCGAAAGGGGUGCUAAUACCGGAUAAUGUCUUCGGACCAAAGAUUUAUCGCCUUUGGAUGGGCCCGCGUUGGAUUAGCUAGUUGGUAGGGUGAAAGCCUACCAAGGCGACGAUCCAUAGCUGGUCUGAGAGGAUGAUCAGCCACACUGGGACUGAGACACGGCCCAGACUCCUACGGGAGGCAGCAGUGGGGAAUAUUGGACAAUGGGCGAAAGCCUGAUCCAGCAAUGCCGCGUGAGUGAUGAAGGCCUUAGGGUUGUAAAGCUCUUUUACCCGGGAUGAUAAUGACAGUACCGGGAGAAUAAGCGCCGGCUAACUCCGUG